CAGGCUGCAACUCGCCUGCAUGAAGCUGGAAUUGCUAGUAAUCGCGGAUCAGCAAGCCGCGGUGAAUACGUUCCCGGGCCUUGUACACACCGCCCGUCAAGCCAUGGGAGCCGGGGGUGCCUGAAGUUCGUGACCGCAAGGAGCGACCUAGGGCAAAACUGGUGACUGGGGCUAAGUCGUAACAAGGUAAC
rnacentral:rRNA from 1 species